rnacentral:rRNA from 1 species
AUGCACGCUGGCGGCGUGCCUAAUCCAUGCAAGUCGAGCGAACAGACGAGGAGCUUGCUCCUCUGACGUUAGCGGCGGACGGGUGAGUAACACGUGGAUAACCUACCUAUAAGACUGGGAUAACUUCGGGAAACCGGAGCUAAUACCGGAUAAUAUAUUGAUCCGCAUGGUUCAAUAGUGAAAGACGGUUUUGCUGUCACUUAUAGAUGGAUCCGCGCCGCAUUAGCUAGUUGGUAAGGUAACGGCUUACCAAGGCAACGAUGCGUAGCCGACCUGAGAGGGUGAUCGGCCACACUGGAACUGAGACACGGUCCAGACUCCUACGGGAGGCAGCAGUAGGGAAUCUUCCGCAAUGGGCGAAAGCCUGACGGAGCAACGCCGCGUGAGUGAUGAAGGUCUUCGGAUCGUAAAACUCUGUUAUUAGGGAAGAACAAAUGUGUAAGUAACUAUGCACGUCUUGACGGUACCUAAUCAGAAAGCCACGGCUAACUACGUG